AUUGAACGCUGGCGGCAGGCCUAACACAUGCAAGUCGAACGAGUGGCGGACGGGUGAGUAAUGUCUGGGAAACUGCCCGAUGGAGGGGGAUAACUACUGGAAACGGUCGCUAAUACCGCAUACCAUCGGAUGUGCCCCGAUGGGAUCAGCUUGUAGGUGAGGUAACGGCUCACCUAGGCGACGAUCCCUAGCUGGUCUGAGAGGAUGACCAGCCACACUGGAACUGAGACACGGUCCAUACGCCUACGGGAGGCAGCAGUGGGGAAUAUUGGACAAUGGGCGAAAGCCUGAUGCAGCCAUGCCGCGUGUAUGAAGAAGGCAUUCGGGUUGUAAAGUACUUUCAGCGGGGAGGCGUUACCCACAGAAGAGGCACCGGCUAACUCCGUGCCAGCCGCCGCGGUAAUUC
rnacentral:rRNA from 1 species